UGGCGGACGGGUGAGUAACACGUAGGAACGUACCCCAAACUGAGGGAUAAGCACCGGAAACGGUGUCUAAUACCACAUGUGAUCUUCGGAUUAAAGCUACGGCGGUUUGGGAAUGGCCUGCGUCCGAUUAGCUAGUUGGUGAGGUAAUAGCUCACCAAGGCGACGAUCGGUAGCUGGUCUGAGAGGAUGAUCAGCCAGACUGGGACUGAGAACGGCCCAGACUCCUACGGGAGGCAGCAGUAGGGAAUUUUCCACAAUGGACGAAAGUCUGAUGGAGCAACGCCGCGUGCAGGAUGAAUGCCUCCGGGUUGUAAACUGCUUUUGUCUGUGAUGAUUAUGACGGCAGCAGACGAAUAAGGAUCGGCUAACUCCGUGCCAGCAGCCGCGGUAAU
rnacentral:rRNA from 1 species